rnacentral:snoRNA from 1 species
AAGACUAUUUUGAGGGAUCAUUUCUGUCAUUUGUUACUGAUGAGAUUUCUCUGUGUAGAGUACUGGGAAUGGUGAAAAAAGUGGGGAGUUCUCUUCUGAUAUGAAACCAGCCCUCCGGUCUUAGCUACAACUGCCACUUGCCGUCAAUGAUUGUUCUUUUUCUUUGAGAGGGUAAGAGAGAGAGGACACAGAAUGAUUUCU